GUCAACGACCCCGGCCUGAAGGUCAGGGCUUGAGGUGCCGUACCGCGCACCGAUGGCCUCGCGUUGACCAGCCCGAGUCGAUCAUCGUGGAGGAGGUGCAUUCGAUUGACUACGUUUCUUGUGAGUGAGAAGACCCACCAAGCCGUGCUUCCUCAGCGGCUUGCUCUGGA
rnacentral:sRNA from 15 species